CCUCCCUCUCUCUCGUUUCCUCUCCCGCAUACCCCUCCGCCUCCGCCGCCAGGAGCGUCCCCACACCAACGUCGUCGUCUCGAGGGGGGAGUGGGUGGGAGGAGAAGACGGCGGCGGCGCACACGGGGAAAAGAGGAAGAGCGCCGGCCUUGGUCCACGCGACGACGGCCGUGAACUGCGCCUCCACCAGUGUAUGCGCGACGGUGCGCGCUCUCUCCUAGGUCGCCCCUCCACUCUUUCUGCGCCUCCUUUUCAUCUCUCACACGCAGGCCCCUCUCUCGUUUGGCUUCACAUUCCCUGCUAGGGUUGCCGCCGCCACUGCUGCCGCCAUCGCUCCUCCGGCGCUGGCCAUGCUCCCUCGUAGCAAAGUGCGGCGCUGCUUCUCCACACAGCCGUGUCGGCAAGGCGGCGGCAAGACCGAGAAGGUGGGCGGCGCUGCGAGCUCUCGUCCCGUGGAAGCCAUGGGAGGACGAGGUCGAUGCGGUCGUCGGCGCGUCCUCCGCUGCAAGAGGCCAUGAGCGAAACGAAGGAGGCGUCGUCAGCUGCGUGCCCGACCUCGCCACGGACGCCAGCGAGGCCAACCUCCCCUUCACCUCUGACCGGCAGGUUGCUGCCAUGGAACCAUGUUGACCUGAGCUAUGUGCCACCAUGGUAUCCUGCUCUUUUGUUUGUUUGAUCCAAUUGGUAUCGGUUCGAGUGUGUGAUGGAAUGGAGAUGAAAGAUCGUGACGACACUGACGGUGCACCGCGUCCACAGGUCAGUGGUGCCGCCUCUGGUUUCUUCCCCAUCAAUCCCAGACAUCGCUUGUACGCUUGCAUAAGUAGUUUGCCGCUCUCAAUUCUCACUCUAACUCUCUUGUCACUCUUCUCUCUGUUUUCCUAUGAGGUGAGGAGAUUAGGCACAGGCUUGUUGUUGCUUUGCUGUACGAAAUUGGAACCAAUGAUGAAAAGAGAAGCAUGUUUUCUGUCGGAUAUUCAAAAUGGAUCCCGGCAGCAUAUGGUCCUUCAUGUAAAAGAUAAUUUUGUGAAUGCCAAGAAGUAAAAAAACAUUUGUAUGUUUGUGUCCUUUGGGACCCGUACAGACAAAUGGGAAGCUGCACCCAUUACCACAUAAAUGUAAAUUUUACAUGCCGGUCGAUUUGGGAAUCAGUUGUCCCAAUAAGAUGUGCUUUUACUCAUGUAGUUUACACUGAAUAAGAAGCUUCAGGUAACAUUGCUAUC